rnacentral:rRNA from 1 species
GACGAACGCUGGCGGCGUGCCUAAUACAUGCAAGUAGAACGCUGAAGAGAGGAGCUUGCUCUUCUUGGAUGAGUUGCGAACGGGUGAGUAACGCGUAGGUAACCUGCCUUGUAGCGGGGGAUAACUAUUGGAAACGAUAGCUAAUACCGCAUAACAAUGGAUGACACAUGUCAUUUAUUUGAAAGGGGCAAUUGCUCCACUACAAGAUGGACCUGCGUUGUAUUAGCUAGUAGGUGAGGUAAUGGCUCACCUAGGCGACGAUACAUAGCCGACCUGAGAGGGUGGUCGGCCACACUGGGACGGAGACAGGGCCCAGACUCCUACGGGAGGCAGCAGUAGGGAAUCUUCGGCAAUGGGGGCAACCCUGACCGAGCAACGCCGCGUGAGUGAAGAAGGUUUUCGGAUCGUAAAGCUCUGUUGUAAGUCAAGAACGGGUGUGAGAGUGGAAAGUUCACACUGUGACGGUAGCGUACCAGAAAGGGACGGCUAACUACGUG